GGGGCCGUAGUCUAGCCAGGUAUGACGACAGAAUAAUGAUCCGUUAGGGGCUCCAGACCCGUAGGUCGAGGGUUCAAAUCCCUUCGGCCCCACCA
rnacentral:tRNA from 1 species